AUUUUGUUUUUUGUGCUAAUAACACAAUUUAUCCCAUCUUUUCCAUUAUCCUCAGCGAGGGCAAUAUUCACAUUAAUGCAAUUUAAAAGGGAAAAACAUCCUUUGGAAAUCAAUUACCCAGGAGACCAUUAUUACUAAACGCAAUCAACAAAUUGCGAACGAGUUACAUAGAACAAAGUUGCCAACAAUGCAAGCAAAUACAUUGUCGGCACAUGGAUAGAGGACAGAUGCACACAAUUUAUAAAGUUAUAAGCAAUUCUGGCUCAAGAUGAAGACCAACACAUCAAGCAUAGGACAUCAGCGACCAUAACACUAAACACGAGAUAUCAUCAUAAUAUAGUUCAGAAUACACUAAAGGAAACCAUGUCUAUCUGGG